GGGACACGUGGUAUCCUGUCUGAAUAUGGGGGGACCAUCCUCCAAGGCUAAAUACUCCUGACUGACCGAUAGUGAACCAGUACCGUGAGGGAAAGGCGAAAAGAACCCCGGCGAGGGGAGUGAAAAAGAACCUGAAACCGUGUACGUACAAGCAGUGGGAGCACGCUUAGGCGUGUGACUGCGUACCUUUUGUAUAAUGGGUCAGCGACUUAUAUUCUGUAGCAAGGUUAACCGAAUAGGGGAGCCGAAGGGAAACCGAGUCUUAACUGGGCGUUAAGUUGCAGGGUAUAGACCCGAAACCCGGUGAUCUAGCCAUGGGCAGGUUGAAGGUUGGGUAACACUAACUGGAGGACCGAACCGACUAAUGUUGAAAAAUUAGCGGAUGACUUGUGGCUGGGGGUGAAAGGCCAAUCAAACCGGGAGAUAGCUGGUUCUCCCCGAAAGCUAUUUAGGUAGCGCCUCGUGAAUUCAUCUCCGGGGGUAGAGCACUGUUUCGGCAAGGGGGUCAUCCCGACUUACCAACCCGAUGCAAACUGCGAAUACCGGAGAAUGUUAUCACGGGAGACACACGGCGGGUGCUAACGUCCGUCGUGAAGAGGGAAACAACCCAGACCGCCAGCUAAGGUCCCAAAGUCAUGGUUAAGUGGGAAACGAUGUGGGAAGGCCCAGACAGCCAGGAUGUUGGCUUAGAAGCAGCCAUCAUUUAAAGAAAGCGUAAUAGCUCACUGGUCGAGUCGGCCUGCGCGGAAGAUGUAACGGGGCUAAACCAUGCACCGAAGCUGCGGCAGCGACACUAUGUGUUGUUGGGUAGGGGAGCGUUCUGUAAGCCUGUGAAGGUGUGCUGUGAGGCAUGCUGGAGGUAUCAGAAGUGCGAAUGCUGACAUAAGUAACGAUAAAGCGGGUGAAAAGCCCGCUCGCCGGAAGACCAAGGGUUCCUGUCCAACGUUAAUCGGGGCAGGGUGAGUCGACCCCUAAGGCGAGGCCGAAAGGCGUAGUCGAUGGGAAACAGGUUAAUAUUCCUGUACUUGGUGUUACUGCGAAGGGGGGACGGAGAAGGCUAUGUUGGCCGGGCGACGGUUGUCCCGGUUUAAGCGUGUAGGCUGGUUUUCCAGGCAAAUCCGGAAAAUCAAGGCUGAGGCGUGAUGACGAGGCACUACGGUGCUGAAGCAACAAAUGCCCUGCUUCCAGGAAAAGCCUCUAAGCAUCAGGUAACAUCAAAUCGUACCCCAAACCGACACAGGUGGUCAGGUAGAGAAUACCAAGGCGCUUGAGAGAACUCGGGUGAAGGAACUAGGCAAAAUGGUGCCGUAACUUCGGGAGAAGGCACGCUGAUAUGUAGGUGAAGUCCCUCGCGGAUGGAGCUGAAAUCAGUCGAAGAUACCAGCUGGCUGCAACUGUUUAUUAAAAACACAGCACUGUGCAAACACGAAAGUGGACGUAUACGG
rnacentral:rRNA from 1 species